GACUCCGUGGCGCAACGGUAGCGCGUCCGACUCCAGAUCGGAAGGUGCGUGAUCAAACAUGUCGGCGUCA
rfam:Ciona savignyi cont_31260, whole genome shotgun sequence.